GCCUGCCUGCACCCAGGUGAUUAAAAAGCUUUAUUGCUCACACAAAGCCUGUUUGGUGGUCUCUUCACAGGGACACGCAUGAAAUUUGGUGCCAUGACUCGGAUCAGGGGACCUCCCUUGGGAGAUCAAUCCCCUGUCCUCCUGCUCUUUGCUCAGUGAGAAAGAUCCACCUAUGACCUCAGGUCCUCAGACCAACCAGCCCAAGGAACAUCCCACCAAUUUUAAACCCGAUGCCGUCACUGCCACCAGGAGCCCUGUACUAUCAGCCAUGGUCAACCCCACCGUGUUCUUUGACAUCGCAGUCACGGCGAGCCCUUGGGUCACGUCUCCUUUGAGCUGUUUGCAGACAAGAUUCCAAAAACAGCAGAAAACUUUCAUGCUCUGAGCACUGGAGAGGAAGGAUUUGGUUAUAAGGGUUCCUGCUUUCACAUAAUUAUUCCAGGAUUUAUGUGUCAGGGUGGUGACUUCAUAUGCCAUAAUGGCACUGGUGGCAAGUCCAUCUAUGGGGAGAAAUUUGAUGAUGAGAACUUCAUCCUAAGGCAUACACGUCCUGGCAUCUUGUCCAUGGCAAAUGCUGGAUCCAAUACAAACGGUUCCCAGUUUUUCAUCUGCACUGACAAGACUGAGUGGUGGAUGGCAAGCAUGUGGUCUUUGGCAAGGUGAAAGAAGGCAUGAAUAUUGUGGAGGCCACGGAGCGCUUUGGGUCCAGGAAUGGCAAGACCAGGAAGAAGAUCACCAUUGCUGACUGUGGACAACUCUAAUAAGUUUGACUUGUGUUUUAUCUUAACCACCAGACCAUUCCUUCUGUAGCUCAGGACAGCACCCUCCACCCCAUUUGCUCGCAGUAUCCUAGAAUCUUUGUGCUCUCGCUGCAGUUCCCUUCCAUGCCUAGCUGGACUGCAGAGUUGAGUUAAAGUUUAUGAUUAUGAAAUAAAAACUAAAUAACAACAAAAAAUUGUUUAUAACCAAUGCUUGAUCCCAUAUUCCUAGGAAAACAAUUAAAGCUUCAGGUAUAUUUGGUCUUCUGGUCAGCCAUUUAAACAUUUUAUAAAGGGAUUUCAUUCCAUUGUUAUUUUCCAUGCAUGUUUUCUGGUUGUAGAAAAGCUUUCCCAUGCAAGAGGGCUGAUGUUAUAACAGUAGAUUAUUAUGCUACAGUGUAUUUUCACCAGAUUAAAAAAAAAAGCUUUUUAUGGUUUGAAUCUGCUGGAAACAUCAGAGAAAGACUGUCCUUGCCAUCUACACUAUAACAAAACUUCAGGACCUUGAACUUUGGGUUCAUAAUCUCACAACUGAGAAGGGCCCCUCCAUGCUCUUGGAGCUGUGCACCCACUGGAAUGCUUAAGGUAAAACUAACUAGGGAAAUUUCUCCCAAGAAGAAGAUGACAUCAUUGAUGUGAACAGCUUUUCCCAAGUUCACAGAUUAAGACUUCUACUAUCAUGAAACUCUUAUUUUUGAAUAUUUUUUCUUGCUUAUGCCUUCUACGAACAAUAGAAGUGGAAAAGGGGUCUGUUAUGUGCACUUAUGGGGAACAUUUUUAUUUGUGAAGGAGUUUGCAGCCAGCCUUAUACAUGGAUAAAGGCCCAAUGUAUGUAAGAAACUUUAAUGGUAGAUGUGUUAGCUCAUAAUCAAUCAAAAACAAAAAAUUGAUUCACUCCACAUAACCCACAUCGUGGGUUAAAGAGAACAUUGCCAGAAGUCCUUCACUCUUCUGAAAGGGCAUCAUUUGUUAGGUCCUUUUUCCAUGGUUUAAAGUAAAAGAAGCAAUGAUUAGAAAUGUAUCCCUCAUGAUAGGUUCCAUAGCAAAUUCUACUCUAAAGGCUACAGACUCUAAAUUCUCUUGUGAAAGUUAUAAUAGAAUUGGCUAAACAGCGAAGUAUCUGUGCAGCUGCUGGCACUUGUGGCCUAUACAGAAAUACAUCAAAUGAAGACUAUAGAAAUUCAGUGGUAGGAGACUGACAAAGAAAUUGAUUAGUCAAGUCUCUCUCUGUUGCCCAGGCUGAAGUGCAGUGGCGUGAUCUUGGCUCACUGCAACCUCCGACUCCCAGGUUCAAGCAAUCCUCCUGCCUUGGCCUCCCAAGUAGCUGGGAUUACAGGUGCACGUGACCACACCCAGCCAAUUUUUGUAUUUUAGUAGAGAUGGGGUUUCACCACGUUGGCCAGGCUCAUCUUGAACUCCUGACCUCAAGUGAGCCACCUCACCCAGCCGUGAGUAAACUGUAUCUAGCUCAUUCUUAGAUCCAUUUGAUUUUAGGAGGUUUGGUUUAUGGGGACCUUGGGUAAGGAGUAUACUCCCAAAUUCUUGGUAUUAUCCUCCUAAUAGCCAUAAUAAUGGUCUCCCUGACGAGCUGUAUGCUCUCAAAGGUUUUAAAUGCUUGCAUGAGCCAUCUCUAGAAUGUCAUAUGGUCUCUCUUCAACUGGAAUAACAGGAGCUCAAAGAAAUAUGCAACCAUGAGGACACCAUAACCUAUAAAUGACAUGCUGAGACCAGAAACCCAAAAUGAUGGUAACUGAGAGUGGCACUGAGGCCCUAGGUUUUGGUCACACUCUCACCUAAGUGAAAACCUGAUCAAAAAGGGAAUUUUUUUCAACAAAAUUCUGGGAGGCCGUUGUUUUGGACUGAUCUCAUGCACUAGGCCCCAACAAACCAAACAAAACCAAAAUGGGGCCACUCAUGCCAAGACUUUAAGGAAACACAUAGAUUCUAGAAAAGACUAGGUUUUGUUUUUUCUUCUGCAAAUCACUACAACAAACAUUUCUGACAGUAUAGGUAUCCACCCCCUAAAGUUUCCAUUAAAUCUUUUAACCAAAUUCAUUUCCUCUCACCUAGAGACCAUCAAGCUUCAGAUGAUCAUGUAACAAAGGUUCCAGCCAGUUCCAAGUGAAGACACCACCCCUGGACAUCAAGAAGCUACCCUUCCUCCACUAGAUAGAGCAGGGUGAGAGUUCCAUGAUCCCCAAUAGGUAGGGACUAUGCCCCAAGCCAGCAUGAAGCAGUUACAGAAAAAAGACCAUCGGUCCCUCUGCCUCCCAUAAAGAUUUAUGGGGAUCACAUCUCUUGAAGGGGCAGAUGAGGCAGGAAAAUAGGGUCUGAAGUGUGAAGAUCGAUUCACACUUCAGCUAUAACAGGAAAUAUCCUCUCCAUAGGGUGUAUGACUAUGUAACUUGAAUACUUCAUCCUCUCCAUUUACAUAAGGUGUAUCUGAAGUAACCAAUGGAAUCCUCUGGGGGUAAAUGCCCCACAAUUCUGUAACGGGACCUUUGAGCCCCUACGCUCCGCCUGCUCCCACACUGUGGUGUGUAUGUUCAUUUUCAAUAAAUCCCUUCAUUCCUUCCUUA
ensembl:lncRNA novel transcript